CAACUACCCACGACUAAAGUUGCGGGCUUGAAAGAGCUUUGCGACUGAACCGUGACAUCAGCAGUGGUGUCAGUUGAUUAGCCCGCUUCGUUAUCCGUAAAUGAUAUAGGCACCAGGGGAUGCCUCCCAAGUCCCCCGCUCUGC
rnacentral:sRNA from 1 species